CCUACGGGGGGCUGCAGUAGGGAAUAUUGCUCAAUGGGGGAAACCCUGAAGCAGCAACGCCGCGUGGAGGAUGAAGGUUUUAGGAUUGUAAACUCCUUUUGUUAGAGAAGAUUAUGACGGUAUCUAACGAAUAAGCACCGGCUAACUCCGUGCCAGCAGCCGCGGUAAUACGGAGGGUGCAAGCGUUACUCGGAAUCACUGGGCGUAAAGAGUGCGUAGGCGGGGUAAUAAGUCAGAUGUGAAAUCCUGUAGCUUAACUACAGAACUGCAUUUGAAACUGUUACUCUGGAGUGUGGGAGAGGUAGGUGGAAUGCUUGGUGUAGGGGUAAAAUGCGUAGAGAUCAAGAGGAAUACUCAUUGCGAAGGCGACCUGCUGGAACAUUACUGACGCUGAUGCACGAAAGCGUGGGGAGCAAACAGGAUUAGAUACCCUUGUAGUC
rnacentral:rRNA from 1 species